CGUCGCCUGUUUAUCAAAAACAUGUCUACGUGAUAGAAUGUAGUCUGACCUGCCCACUGACGUAAACGUUGAAGGGCCGCAGUAUCUUGACUGUGCAAAGGUAGCAUAAUCAUUAGCUUUAUUGAGAGCUUGUAUGAAUGGUUGGACGAGAUAGACACUGUCUCUUUUAUAAUUUUUGAACUUAACUUUUAAGUGCAAAGGCUUAAAUAAAUUAGGGGGACGAUAAGACCCUAUAAAUCUCGUUUUUAUUGUUUUAUUUGUGUGUAAGUUGAUAAUUAAUAAUAAAUGAUGUUUUGCUGGGGCGGCAUAGAUAAAAUACUUAACUGUUUUACUAGACAAUGAUUUUUGAUUGUUAAUAAUUGGUCCUUUUUUUAGAUUUAAAGAUAAAGUUACUUUAGGGAUAACAGCGUUAUUUUUUUUAAGAGUUCAUAUCAAAAAAGUUUGCGACCUCGAUGUUGAAUUAAAAUUUCUCGGUGCAGAAGC
rnacentral:rRNA from 1 species